rnacentral:misc_RNA from 1 species
GAUGAAGAACGUAGCGAAAUGCGAUACGUAAUGUGAAUUGCAGAAUUCAGUGAAUCAUCGAGUCUUUGAACGCACAUUGCGCCCUCUGGUAUUCCGGAGGGCAUGCCUGUCCGAGCGUCAUUGCUGCCCUCAAGCACGGCUUGUGUGUUGGGCCCCGCCCCCCGAUCCCGGGGGGCGGGCCCGAAAGGCAGCGGCGGCACCGCGUCCGGUCCUCGAGCGUAUGGGGCUUUGUCACCCGCUCUGUAGGCCCGGCCGGCGCCGGCCGAUCAACCAAACUUUUUUCCAGGUUGACCUCGGAUCAGGUAGGGAUACCCGCUGAACUUAAGCAUAUCAAUAAGCGGAGGA